UACAGAGGUGCCAAGCGUUAGGCGGAAUCACUGGGCUUAAAGCGCGCGUAGGCGGAUGUUUAAGUGUCUUGUGAAAUCCCACGGCUCAACCGUGGAACUGCUGGGCAUACUGGACAUCUCGAGGCACUCAGGGGCGAGCGGAACAAGUGGUGGAGCGGUGAAAUGCGUAGAUAUCUGGAGGAACACCGGUGGCGAAGGCGGCAUCCUGGACCAAUAUUGACGCUGAGGAGCGAAAGCCAGGGGAGCAAACGGG
rnacentral:rRNA from 1 species